rnacentral:rRNA from 1 species
GAUGAACGCUGGCGGCGUGCCUAAUACAUGCAAGUCGAGCGAACGGACGAGAAGCUUGCUUCUCUGAUGUUAGCGGCGGACGGGUGAGUAACACGUGGAUAACCUACCUAUAAGACUGGGAUAACUUCGGGAAACCGGAGCUAAUACCGGAUAAUAUUUUGAACCGCAUGGUUCAAAAGUGAAAGACGGUCUUGCUGUCACUUAUAGAUGGAUCCGCGCUGCAUUAGCUAGUUGGUAAGGUAACGGCUUACCAAGGCAACGAUGCGUAGCCGACCUGAGAGGGUGAUCGGCCACACUGGAACUGAGACACGGUCCAGACUCCUACGGGAGGCAGCAGUAGGGAAUCGUCCGCAAUGGGCGAAAGCCUGACGGAGCAACGCCGCGUGAGUGAUGAAGGUCUUCGGAUCGUAAAACUCUGUUAUUAGGGAAGAACAUAUGUGUAAGUAACUGUGCACAUCUUGACGGUACCUAAUCAGAAAGCCACGGCUAACUACGUG